CAGAGUGAAAGCAGAAGGUUGAAAGCAGAAGGUUCUGGGGAGACGGCACAGUGGGUCUGCGUGCCCACCGUCGAGCCUGACUACCCAAGCCCGAUUCCCACACCUGACCCGGAGGAAGAGAGAUAGUUCAUCAGAAGCAGACCAGGAAGAGAUAAGCGGAAUCCACGUCCUUGUGUAGUAACCCAGCUUCUCUGUUGGACUCUGUGUAAGAAACAGCGUGUUCCUACCGAGGAGCAGCAUUUUCUUGAGCAGAGAACCCAGCCCUCCCAACCCCAGGUUUUCUGUGUGCCCAUGUGUUUCCUAAUUUCUUGGAUGUCCCAGUUAGCUGUGUCCCCGGAGGCAUGCUGGACAUGAAGAGACCUCCAUGUGCACUCCAUGUUACAGAUAUAUAUUAACUAAAUGACUGUAAUAAC